CUUUCACCUGCUUUCAUCAUAUGGAGUCCCCUUGCUGGCAAUUGCUAAGGUCACUCAGUUGCCAUGCCGAGGAGGAAAAGCUGCAAAUGCCAAGUAAAAUAGAAACCUAUAAAUGUUGUGUGUCACAGCAGAGCUCAGUGUGAAGCCUUCAGGAAAACUACACCUACAUACAAAAUACUGGUGGUGAAAAAACAUUUUAAAAACCAUUAUUUAGUUAGAAUUCAGUGAUGGCAAAUAGGCUUUUGCUUUACCUCUCUAGAUUUAGAGCUGCUCCUGAGAGAUCAGUUUGGAUUUCUCUGAGACUGACAGAAAGAUAUAGCAAUAGCAUUCCGCAUCCUCUCCACAUGAAUAAACAUGCAUAAAAUAGUAAUCUCUGGCAGCUGGAUGAGCUCACAAAAAGUGCCCACAGGGUCACUGCACAGCGCAAUAUUUACUUAGCACUCAAAUAGUGGUUUUUCCCCUAAAACAACAGCUGCACUGAGGUUUUGCCCGCAGCUUUAAAAAUUAAUAACAGUUUGAUUUUGCUCACUAAUUCAAAUAUGCCAUGGUGGCAGAAAGUUUCGUACCUCAGGCUGAGAGCAGAAUUUGUCAAGCGAAGGGCGGUGCCGCGUGGCUGCGGCUCAUCCCCAUGCUCAGCUCAUGGCCCACGGUCAGACCCUUCUGCUUCAGCAGCAACCACAGGCUUUGAUGGAGUCUUUUGCAAUAUUAACCUAGGCAUGAUUUCUGUAAACAGGGCUCUUAUGCUGGCUGGCUCGCAGCCAGAAAAUGGAAAAAAAAAAGGCUGGGAGGAGAGGGGGCCCGUGGGAAGGGGCUCUGAGAUGCAAAUCACGGUGGUGGUGCUCAGCACACUUUAAUCCUUUGUCCAGUGUAGCUGGGCGCAGAUAAUGCAACUAAUUCAAGUGCUUGUCUCUGUGGUGUGAAUUAGCUGGAUGACAGCCUAAAACCUCUCCCCGGCAACAGCAAACCUGCAAAAAAAGGCAGAAGCAUAGCUCUUCUCUGUUCCCAGCUGCUCUGUCCAGCUUUUGAGUUUGUCCAGCAGAUUCCUGGCUCCCCUCACAUCUCCCUGGCUGCCUGCUUAUGGGGGAGGACUCUCCAGUGGGGCUGCAGACCCCAUGGCUUCCGUCCACCUUCUGCCCCAGGCUGCAGGACACCUUCUCCCCUGGGCAGUCCGACCUGCACAGUCGCUGCAAGGACCCUGGGCAUGUGCUGCAGGUGCCACACGACCUCCUCACUGCCUCCUCGCUGCCUCCUCUACACAGAGAAGGGAAGCAUGGACUAAUGUGAGAGCAGCUUGCAGGCUUUUAUGGCACCACAACAACUGAUGGGCUGGUUAAGGAGGAAUUGAAAUUGAUACAUCUGAGCAGGUGCCUUACCUUGGCCUUCUCACUUGGCUCCUUGACAAUGCCAUUGGUGGAAUUGUUGAGCUCCCUGGACACAACACAGAGGAAUUCUGCCUGGUCUUCGUUCCCAUAGUUGUAGGAAGAUCCAAUGCUGAUCAGCUGUGCAACAGGAGACAGCCAAGGGCAGGUUUUUGGCUGCCUCUCCACUCUGAGACAGUUUUCAGGUAUUACAGAACAGAUCCAUAGGAACAACUGAUGGGAAGAGCUGUUCCUAAUCCUCUGCCUCACUACAUGUCAGCACAAUUCCCACAGCAUCCACUUGUACUGAAGCUGGACUAAAUGGGAAGACACUGCUGUAAUCCACAGACCCUGUUCUGUAGUUUCUUAACAUAACAUAACACACAGGCCAGGCUCCAGUUCUCCCUCCUCAGAAAUAAGAGAACUGUGUUUGAUUCCAGAAACCAAACGUGGAGCUAAUGCCAUGUGCCACUGCAGUGACACCCAGCCCUGGAGCCAGCUGACUGCACAGACACCUGCACAAAGUUCUUGUGUCCCUCAGAGCCUCUUUAGCAAAUGCAGGAGUUGUGGCUUUGAGGCUCCAAGAAAGUUGUACUGUGUUUUUUCAUGGCUGUGAUAAUUUUCCUGGAUAUAACUGUUAUACUGUGGCCUGGUGUAUGUGAUGAAAUGCAGGAGAAGGGAAGAACUGCUCUGGGAUUUGACAAGGAGACAAAAAGUCCUGAGAGAAAAUGAAAUCUCUCUGGCAGCUUGAGUGACUUUUGCUCUCCCCUGUCAGUAACUGGGUACAAGUGGAUUGCUGCUCAUUCAGAAGAGCAGAGCAGUGUGAAAAGCAACUCAACAGGCAACCCUACUUAUUCCACACCCAGUUUUCAAAGGAAUUCUGCCAUUCUUUGCUAAUGGUACCUGUUCAAAUUUCCAUCCGUCGGACAUGGUGGACACCAUCUGUGUGAGCUCUUCCUCUUGGCACUGCAGCACUCUGUACACGUGCUUCACAGGCCCCUGGAGCACAGACAACAAUGGCUCUACUUAGUAAUUGCUUUAUUAGCAUCAUGCUAGAAAAUUAAUAAGCUGCUCCUGCUCUCAUCUUAGGAAGUCAGAGCCCCAAGGGCUUUCUAAGGGUGUUUUUAUCCCACUGAUUCCAAAACACAACCAUAUGCCUGGCACUCUUCUCUUAAAAGCUUUCUAGGUGUCUAAGCUAAAACUUCUUUAGCUUUCAAAGCCAUUUGCUGCUUUUUGAAAACAUUUCUGAAAUUGAAUCCACUGGAUGUGCUGAUAUCAGCUGAGCAUCAAUGGGAAACAUGUCACAGAGAGACACAGGGAAGAAAUGGUUUAGAGAAGGAAGAGUUUGAGCUGUUCUUUGGCAAAGCAGUAUGUUCUGCUUUAUAACCACCCAUUUCUGCUCCUGGCCCCUCUCCUGUAAGUGUCCUUUGCCUUUCCCUGCAGUGCUGACUCAGUGCUCUGUGCUUUAUAAAGCCACACUGAGGACUUUUUGCUGGCCAUGCCCUGCUUCCACCCAACAGCAUUUAUUGCCCUGUUACUGCUGAGCCCAAGAAGUGCUGCUGCAAGGGCCUGCAGCCAUGCCUGUCCUCCUGAGCCCCAGAGCUGGCUCACAAGCCAGAGGGGCUUUACUUGAGAGGUUCUGUUCUCGUUGUCGCGGAUCCGCUCCUUCACCAGGCGCACCAGGGACGCGAUGUUGUAGAACUCAGCCUCCUCCAGCACCCCUGCAGAGCAACCCAGAGCACAGUCCUGUCACUCUGCACAGCACGGAAUGAAGAUCAUCCUGCCACAGGGAUGCAAACCUGCUGCUGACUCCAAAUCUAGCCCAGAUGUCAGAAUCCCAAAUGUGCCACCCACCUCCUGCUCCCAGGCUAGGAGAAAAUGCUGCCACCUCCUGCUGUGCCUUAAGAGGAGCUUUAUGAAACAUUAUUCCUGGGGUGGAUGCUUUGUGGGGGGCUCCUGGAUUGAGUGGAGAGAUGAGAAUCUCGACUCCAUGUUUCAGAAAUGGAGUCGAGAUUCUCAUUAAAAUAUCUUAUUAAAAUAUCAUUGUAAUAUAAUAUGUAUAACCAGCCUUCUGGUUUAUUAUAUUAUGAUAUAUAUUAUAUUAAAAUGAUAUAUUAAAACUAUACUAAAAGAAUAGAGAGAAAAGAAUCCAUCAGAAGGCCAGAAAGAACAAGAAUGGAAUGCAGUGACAAAGGCUUGUGACUGCUCAAACCUUGACACAGGAGGUGUGAUUGGUCAAGUGAAAACAAUUUACCUGUUGGUAAACAAUGCCCACACUACAUUCUACAGCCAUCAGAUAGUUCAUUGUUUACAUUUCUUUUCUGAGGCCUCUCAGCUAGGAGAAGAAUCCUAGCAAAGGAUUUUUCAUAAAACAUCAUGGUACAUAUUCAUAAAACAUCAUGGUACAUAUCAUACCCUGGGAUGAUCAGAAAUCUCAGGGUACAAUGUCUGUUUCUUCACCCAGCCCCAGAGCUGCCUGCCUGGGGAGAGCCAGGCCUGUGAGGGGCAGAGGGGCUGGAACAGAGCAGUGACAGGCUGUGCUGAGAGCUGCAGCUCUGCUCUGGGGACACACACAGCUGGUGAUUUAACCCCUGCUAACAAGCAAUUAACAGCACUAACAGCACUCCUGGUGCUUUUCUCUCACCUUCCUCUGCCAGCUCCUUGUUGAUGAUGAGCUUCCCGUGCCGGAGGUAGUUCAGGAUGGGGCCAAAGUAGGUGGGGUCUCUGUCGAUGAGAUAGGCUCCAGUCUCAUCCUGAGGGCAAAACAGGCAGGGCUCAGAGCUGCCAGCAAAACAGGACUGCAACCCAACCCAACACAUGGGACAGAUCCUCUCUGAGCAGCUGGAAUCAUCUGCCUGUGGGAGGUGUUCAAACUGUGUAUGUGUUCAAAGGUGUGCUGCAUUUAAAGCAUUUUUCCUUUUCAGUAUCUGCUCUACAACACUGCAGAUGUCUUGCAUGAGGCACCUGGGCAGCUCGUGGGCCUGGAGAGAACAGCUGGGGUCAGGGGGCAGUAAGAGCCAAACCCUGGCACUGGUGUUGUGGCUCAGCUGUUCUCCAGGCAGGUUUAACCAGGGGGCUCUGGAGGAAAAUGGGAUCUCCAGUUCUAGCCAAAACAGUUCAUUUUUAACCCUUUCCACCACUGCAGUGCUCCAGCCACGUGUCCAGCAAUACAACAACUCCUGGCACCAAUAACCAAGAGCUGGCAGCCAAGAGCACCUCCUGAGCAGCCCUGAAGCACUGACAAGCCUCUUCAGAGCUCUCACAGCCCUCUCUCAAGGACUUCACAGCACUGUUCCCCCUGCCAAUCCUCUCUAAAGCAACAAGGCACUGUGCAAACCCACUCUGAAAUCUCUCCUCUGCUCACCGAGGCUGCUGGCUGAUGUUUUGAUCACAACCAGGAUUUAUCUUGUGAUUAAACUCCAAAAGGAGCAGCAACAGACUCGACUGCUUCUGGCCCACUCACAACAUUUACAACACCUUGUGCUUUUCCACCCAGUCCUGGGGGAAAUCUGCAACUGCAGGAAUGAUUGUUAAUUGCAAAAUCCUUACAAUAAACUGAAAAAAAAAAUCUGCAGUUGCAAGAAUAAUCGAAAAUCCUUACAAUAAACUGCAAUGACUGCAAAAAACUCUGCAAUUGCAAGAAUAACUGUUUGAAAGAUCCUUAUAAUAAGUUCAAAACUGCCCA